rnacentral:rRNA from 1 species
GACGAACGCUGGCGGCGUGCUUAACACAUGCAAGUCGAACGGAAAGGCCCUGCUUUUGUGGGGUGCUCGAGUGGCGAACGGGUGAGUAACACGUGAGUAACCUGCCCUUGACUUUGGGAUAACUUCAGGAAACUGGGGCUAAUACCGGAUAGGAGCUCCUGCUGCAUGGUGGGGGUUGGAAAGUUUGGGCGGUUGGGGAUGGACUCGCGGCUUAUCAGCUUGUUGGUGGGGUAGUGGCUUACCAAGGCUUUGACGGGUAGCCGGCCUGAGAGGGUGACCGGCCACAUUGGGACUGAGAUACGGCCCAGACUCCUACGGGAGGCAGCAGGGGGGAAUAUUGCACAAUGGGCGGAAGCCUGAUGCAGCAGCGCCGCGUGCGGGAUGACGGCCUUCGGGUUGUAAACCGCUUUCGCCUGUGACGAAGCGUGAGUGACGGUAAUGGGUAAAGAAGCACCGGCUAACUACGUG